rnacentral:rRNA from 1 species
CCUACGGGCGGCAGCAGUGAGGAAUAUUGGUCAAUGGGCGAGAGCCUGAACCAGCCAAGUAGCGUGAAGGAUGACGGAUCUAUGGGUUGUAAACUUCUUUUAUAUGGGAAUAAAGUGAGGCACGUGUUCCUUUUUGUAUGUACCAUAUGAAUAAGCAUCGGCUAACUCCGUGCCAGCAGCCGCGGUAAUACGGAGGAUGCGAGCGUUAUCCGGAUUUAUUGGGUUUAAAGGGAGCGUAGGUGAUUAAUUAAGUCAGCGGUGAAAGUUUGUGGCUCAACCAUAAAAUUGCCGUUGAAACUGGCUGACUUGAGUACAGUGGAGGUAGGCGGAAUGCGUGGUGUAGCGGUGAAAUGCAUAGAUAUCACGCAGAACUCCGAUUGCGAAGGCAGCUUACGAAACUACAACUGACACUGAAGCUCGAAAGCGUGGGGAUCAAACAGGAUUAGAUACCCCUGUAGUC